UACGUAGGGUGCGAGCGUUAAUCGGAAUUACUGGGCGUAAAGGGUGCGCAGGCGGUUCUGCAAGUCAGGCGUGAAAUCCCCGGGCUCAACCUGGGAAUGGCAUUUGGGACUGCAAGGCUGGAGUGUGGCAGAGGAGACUGGAAUUCCCGGUGUAGCAGUGAAAUGCGUAGAUAUCGGGAGGAAUACCGAUGGCGAAGGCAGGUCUCUGGGCUGACACUGACGCUCAUGCACGAAAGCGUAGGGAGCAAACAGG
rnacentral:rRNA from 1 species